AUUGAACGCUGGCGGCAUGCUUUACACAUGCAAGUCGAACGGUAACAGGCCUUCGGGUGCUGACGAGUGGCGAACGGGUGAGUAAUGCAUCGGAACGUACCCAGAGGUGGGGGAUAACGCAGCGAAAGCUGUGCUAAUACCGCAUGUGAUCUGAGGAUGAAAGCGGGGGACCGAGCAGCAAUGUUUGGCCUCGCGCCUUUGGAGCGGCCGAUGUCGGAUUAGCUAGUUGGUGGGGUAAAGGCCUACCAAGGCGACGAUCCGUAGCUGGUCUGAGAGGACGACCCGGCAAACCGGGGCAGGGGGCCGGGCCCAACCCCUACCGGGAGGCACGAGGGGGGAUUUUUGGAAAAGGGGCCCAAGCCUAGUCCAGCAAUGCCGCGGGGGGGAAGAAGGCCUUGGGGUUGUAACCCGCUUUGGGCAGGAACGAAACGGGGUCCGCUAAUACCGGGCGCUAAUGGCGGUCCCUGCAAAAAAAGCACCGGCUACCUACGU
rnacentral:rRNA from 1 species